GACGAACGCUGGCGGCGUGCCUAAUACAUGCAAGUCGAACGCUUCUUUCCUCCCGAGUGCUUGCACUCAAUUGGAAAGAGGAGUGGCGGACGGGUGAGUAACACGUGGGUAACCUACCCAUCAGAGGGGGAUAACACUUGGAAACAGGUGCUAAUACCGCAUAACAGUUUAUGCCGCAUGGCAUAAGAGUGAAAGGCGCUUUCGGGUGUCGCUGAUGGAUGGACCCGCGGUGCAUUAGCUAGUUGGUGAGGUAACGGCUCACCAAGGCCACGAUGCAUAGCCGACCUGAGAGGGGGAUCGGCCACACUGGGACUGAGACACGGCCCAGACUCCUACGGGAGGCAGCAGUAGGGAAUCUUCGGCAAUGGACGAAAGUCUGACCGAGCAACGCCGCGUGAGUGAAGAAGGUUUUCGGAUCGUAAAACUCUGUUGUUAGAGAAGAACAAGGACGUUAGUAACUGAACGUCCCCUGACGGUAUCUAACCAGAAAGACACGGCUAACUACGUG
rnacentral:rRNA from 1 species